ACAGUCGACCGGUCUGUCGCUCUUUCUCAUGGAAAGGGAGGAAAGUCCGGGCAACACAGAGCACCAUACUACCUAACAGAUAGCUGUUCGCGAGGGCAGAGUACGGUAGAAGAAAAUAACCGCCUUGUUCGCAAGGUAAGGGUGAGAAGGUGGUGUAAGAGACCACCGGUCUUGUAGCAAUGCAAGACGCUGUACCGCUUAUGGGUUGCAAGGUCAUGUAUACCGGCGCAUGUAGGAUAGCUCGUCCGAUGCCGGGGGGUAGACUGCUCGAGCGUUCAUGCGAAUGAACGUCCAGAUAAAUGACAGACACCAUGCUGCGCAUGGUACGGAACCCGGCUUACAGGUCGACUGUUUUU
rnacentral:RNase_P_RNA from 1 species